rnacentral:rRNA from 1 species
UUUCAAAAACAUAUACUUGUUCUUAGUUCAAACCGGAACGCCCUUUUAAGGAAAAAAAUGUCUCCCAUCCCCCAUCAGUGAAACUGAUCUCCCCGUGAAGAAGCGGGGAUACAGCUAUAAGACGAGAAGACCCUAUGGAGCUUCAGGCAAUGCAGGCACCAUUACAAAACAAAACCACACAUAUACUAAAUCUGCCUGCCAGCCUUAGGUUGGGGCGACCGCGGAGUAAAAUAAAACCUCCACAACAAACAGGACUACACCUUAAUCCAAGAGCCACCACUCCAAGAAUAGAUAAAUCAAUGUAAUAUGACCCGAUAAUCGAUCAAUGAACCAAGUUACCCUAGGGAUAACAGCGCAAUCCAUUUCUAGAGCCCAUAUCAACAAAUGGGUUUACGACCUCGAUGUUGGAUCAGGGUAUCCCAGUGGUGCAGCCGCUACUAAAGGUUCGUUUGUUCAACGAUUAAAACCCUACGUGAUCUGAGUU